GAUGUAUUCGAAAGCGGGCUAUAACACAUCCGAGGAUGCCACAUUCCCGCCAACCUUUUCCACCGCCCAAAACUGAUGCUGGCCUGCAAACCGAGAAGUACACCGGCAGAACCGGCUGAGUCUCGGAAAGCAUGACUGACUUCAAUCGUUUCCCUUUCAACAAUUUCACGUACUGUUUAACUCUCUUUCCAAAGUGCUUUUCAUCUUUCCCUCACGGUACUUGUUCGCUAUCGGUUUCUCGCCAAUAUUUAGCUUUAGAUGGAAUUUACCACCCAUUUUGAGCUGCAUUCCCAAACAACUCGACUCUUUGAGAGCGCAUCACAAAGCACUGGAGAUCUGUGUCAAGGACGGGAUUCUCACCCUCUAUGACGCCGUGUUCCAACGGACUUGUACACAGGCCAGCACGGAAAACGCUUCUCUAGACUACAACUCGGACGAUCUGAGACCGCCAGAUUUUAAAUUUGAGCUCAUCCCGCUUCACUCGCCGUUACUAGGGGAAUCCUUGUUAGUUUCUUUUCCUCCGCUUAUUGAUAUGCUUAAGUUCAGCGGGUAGUCCUACCUGAUUUGAGGCCAGAUCAUAAAAAAUUGCCCAAGGGCGAUUAGAAGCUGACAACUAUGCCUUUCUUAUCCCGGCCAGCCGCAUUGCUGCAACUGUCCUCAACGAAAUACUUAUCACGUUGAGUGGAACCGAUUACGAAA
rnacentral:rRNA from 1 species